GGGAAAAGUACGAGGAGAAGGAGGAGAGAGAGGGAAAAGGAGAGGGAAAGGAAGAGAAGAGAGGAAGAGGAAAAGAGGGAGGAGGAAGAGGAGAAGAGGAAGAAGAGAGGGAGAGGGAGAUGAGACGUGAAAGCAAAAUAUCGUAUAAAGAAGCGGAACGGAAGAUAGUGAGGAGGAGGAGAGCUGACAGCUGACGUUUUGCUGACAGUCCUAGAUUUUGUGCUGACGAUAGCUAAUGCCGCGGCUGACGAGAGCAUCGCAUGAACUCUACGAGGAAAUACGCUGCUGCUGACAAAUGCUGACGCUGGUGGAUGUCGCGCUAAGCUGACACUUGGCUGACACUAAUAGAAGUCGUGUGAAGCUGACGCUGGUGAUACUAGAUGUCGUGUGAAGCUGAUGUUUGCUGACACAAUGCUAUGGAAGUCGUGCUAAGCUGACAGUCGCUGACGCUGAUGACACUGGAUGUCAUUUGAAGCUGACGUCCGCUGACAUCAAGGCUAUGGAAGGCAUCCGAGGCUGACGUUCGCUGACAUCGAGGCUCCAAAAGGCUGAUAUUCGCUGAUAUUCGCUGACAUCGAGGCUAUUGAAGUCAUAUGCAAGAAAAAAAAAGAAAAAAAAAAAAACUGCUGACGGUUGGCUGACGCUGCUGCUCUUCCCCCCCUCCCCCUCCCCCCCC